UCGAAUAGAAUACAGGGGGCGACCAAGAACCCUCAUCAAACCCUAGUUCUUACAAAUCAUUCAAAUUGAAGGAUUAAAUCAGUUCCAAAGCGAAAUCAGAGCCUAGUUUAGUGAUCUCCUCAUCAAAAGGAUCAUAAGGAAAGGAAACCGGAGCGUCUAGUGGACAAGCCAGUGGCGACGCGCGUUUAAAAGGUGUGCUUUGAAGGUGAUGUUCGUUUGUUGUGGAUGUUGAUCAAGCAAGGGAACCAAGAACCGAACACAAGUUUUGAAUGCUUCCGCGCUAAUCUAAUCUAGUUAAAACAUGUUGUUUUGUAAACUCUUUUGAAUGUUGAACAUUUUAAUCUAGUUAGUCGACUAUGUUUAAAUACUAUAACGACGUACAUCUUAGUUAUUAACUAAGUUUUUGU